UCUACCUACGGGAGGCAGCAGUGAGGAAUAUUGGUCAAUGGGCGGAAGCCUGAACCAGCCAAGUCGCGUGAGGGAAUAAGGCCCUACGGGUCGUAAACCUCUUUUGCCGGGGAGCAAGGGCGGGGACGUGUCCCGGCCCGGAGAGUACCCGGAGAAAAAGCAUCGGCUAACUCCGUGCCAGCAGCCGCGGUAAUACGGAGGAUGCGAGCGUUAUCCGGAUUUAUUGGGUUUAAAGGGUGCGUAGGCGGACUGUCAAGUCAGCGGUAAAAUACGGGGGCUCAACCUCCGCCCGCCGUUGAAACUGA
rnacentral:rRNA from 1 species